CUUUGCACAACCCAAGAAUCAUAAAAGUGGAGUAAUACAGAGAAGAUUAGCAUUGCCUCUCCACGUUGAUAACACACAUAAAUUGAGAAAUGCUAAGCAUUAGU